rnacentral:rRNA from 1 species
GAUGAACGCUGGCGGCGUGCCUAAUACAUGCAAGUCGAGCGAACAGACGAGGAGCUUGCUCCUCUGACGUUAGCGGCGGACGGGUGAGUAACACGUGGAUAACCUACCUAUAAGACUGGGAUAACUUCGGGAAACCGGAGCUAAUACCGGAUAAUAUAUUGAACCGCAUGGUUCAAUAGUGAAAGACGGUUUUGCUGUCACUUAUAGAUGGAUCCGCGCCGCAUUAGCUAGUUGGUAAGGUAACGGCUUACCAAGGCAACGAUGCGUAGCCGACCUGAGAGGGUGAUCGGCCACACUGGAACUGAGACACGGUCCAGACUCCUAUGGAGGCAGCAGUAGGGAAUCUUCCGCAAUGGGCGAAAGCCUGACGGAGCAACGCCGCGUGAGUGAUGAAGGUCUUCGGAUCGUAAAACUCUGUUAUUAGGGAAGAACAAAUGUGUAAGUAACUAUGCACGUCUUGACGGUACCUAAUCAGAAAGCCACGGCUAACUACGUG